rnacentral:rRNA from 1 species
CAGUCGCCGCGGGAAUACGGAGGGUGCAAGCGUUGUCCGGAUUUAUUGGGUUUAAAGGGUGCGUAGGCGGCCUAAUAAGUCAGUGGUGAAAGCCUCCAGCUUAACUGGAGAACUGCCAUUGAUACUGUUAGGCUUGAGUAUACUUGAGGUAGGCGGAAUUGACAGUGUAGCGGUGAAAUGCAUAGAUAUUGUCAAGAACACCAAUUGCGAAGGCAGCUUACUAAAUUAUAACUGACGCUGAGGCACGAAAGUGUGGGUAUCAAACAGGAUUAGAUACCCGCGUAGUCCCUGUCUCUUAUAC